rnacentral:lncRNA from 1 species
GUGGUGGUGCAGCAGCUACUUCCUCCCCAGUUUGGAUAGCGCUCCUGUCUACUGGUGGAGCUGUAAAGGUUAAAGCAUUUACAUCAGUCUGGACACCACAUGCAACAAAGACAGACGUUCUCCUGUCAUUGGCCCUGAGCCCAUCUACACCCUGUUCUCUCAUUGGAUUAGUACAAUCUGGGAUCUGGGAAUCUGUUCAAAUGCUUUAAAGUGGCAUGUUGUUUGAGAGAAGAAAGACCUUGUCUGCCGGCCCAUCCUCUCAAUCGCCUUUCCAUCCCAAACUUUCCAACCAACAAAAUGGAGACGGCUCAACUGAACAACCGUACUGCAAAGGGCGCAAAUCAAGUUUAACCAAGUCACACAAGCAAAACCAUCAGGCUUAAAUGAUGCAAGAAGAGAAUGCUGUGGACAAACCAAGCUACUGGAAGACAG